rnacentral:lncRNA from 1 species
GUAUUCUUCAAUCCCAAACAGCAGAGCUCCUUUAAAUAUUAUGGAAACAGGGAGAAAGAAACAGGGAGAAAGAAGUAGGGAGAAACAGGAAGAAACAGGGAUAAAGAAAUAGGGAGAAAUAGGAAGAAAGAAAUAGGGAGAAAUGGGGACAAAGAAAGGAGAUUGAUCGCGAUCGUGAUUGCCCGCAAUUCCUUGGGAUUGUCUGUGAUCCGCCCGCGACUAGCAUCCAAGCAAUCCGUCUCCAAGACUUCUUUGCUCAUAAGUAAUUCAUCCCCAUUAUCUCACGUUACUUUCUCCUCAGAUAAACACAAAGAAAACCAAUCUGUUUUAAUCAAACAACAUCCAAAUAUCAUUUUGUGGCUAAAUAUACUGCUUGCCAAUGAAAACAAAAAAUGUGGAUUCAUUGAUGGUAAAAAAGGGAGGAUCAUUGCUUUAAAGAAAACCAAAUAAAUUGCAUCAAGUUUUUCUUAUCGAAAACACCUGAUUGCCAUCAAAUUAAGAUCAAAACCUUCCACCAAAAAUGGAAAAAAAGAAGAAAGGAGAUCAAAACGGAGCAACAGAACCCACCAAAUCUGUAGUUUUUUGAGGGAGACAAAUCUUUAUGGUCUCAUUUUUGUCUGAAACCUCAAACAAAUCUCAGGUCUCCCAAACACGGCGGGGGAUUUACUACCUUCGCUACGUUCAUCGACGCACAGACAAGGGGACAAGAUCCUCACAACGUUGGUUCCAUAGCGACGGGCGGGGAAGCCCUUGAGCUCAUGCCUUGCUUUUGGAGAAGCUUCUUCGUCGGGAUCGCGAACACGAUCGCCCGCGGAUCGGGAUCAAAGCUUCUUCAUCGAGAUCGCAAACAUGAUUGCCCGCGGGAUCGCAAUCCUAAUCCGCGGGGAAAGAAA